rnacentral:rRNA from 1 species
ACUCCUACGGGAGGCAGCAGUGAGGAAUAUUGGACAAUGGGGGCAACCCUGAUGCAGCCAUGCCGCGUGUAUGAAGAAGGCCUUCGGGUUGUAAAGUACUUUCAGCAGUGAGGAAGGCAGGUACGUUAAUAGCGUGCUUGUUUGACGUUAGUCUGCAGAAGAAGCACCGGCUAACUCCGUGCCAGCAGCCGCGGUAAUACGGAGGGUGCGAGCGUUAAUCGGAAUUACUGGGCGUAAAGCGCAUGCAGGUGGUUUGUUAAGUCAGAUGUGAAAGCCCGGGGGCUCAACCUCGGAAUUGCAUUUGAAACUGGCAGACUAGAGUACUGUAGAGGGGGGUAGAAGUUUCAGGUGUAGCGGUGAAAUGCGUAGAGAUCUGAAGGAAUACCGGUGGCGAAGGCGGCCCCCUGGACAGAUACUGACACUCAGAUGCG